rnacentral:ncRNA from 1 species
CUGGUUGAUCCUGCCAGUGAUCAUAUGCUUGUCUCAAAGCUUAAGCCAUGCAAGUCUAAGUUCAGGCUUGUUCCUUUCGGGGAGCGAGCCGAAACUGCGAACGGCUCAUUAGUCAGAUAAGGUUCCUUGGCUAAAAGCGGGUCGGUUUUAAUGGAUAACUGUGGUAAUUCUAGAGCUAAUACAUGCAACGCACCGUGGUCCCCGUAGUCUUCUCGUCUCGGGGAAACGGCAUUUAUUCUCUGGACCAGAUCGCCCUAGCCUGCGAAGCUACCGUCAAAAGUAGCGACGGGGCGAAGCGACAAGUGUUGAAAUCCGAAUAACUGUGCCGAUCGCGGGGUCUUUCCGGGCCCCCGACGACUUUGCCAUGAAGUGUCUGUCCCAUCAAUUGGCGAUGGUCGGCGACCUGCCUACCACGGUGUUGACGGGUAACGGGGAAUCAGGGUUCGAUUCCGGAGAGGGAGCCUGCGAAACGGCUACCACCUCCAAGGAGGGCAGCAGGCGCGCAACUUACCCAAUCCCGACACGGGGAGGUAGUGACGAAAAAUAACGUGGCGGGGCCCUUUCGUGGUCGCCGCGGGCGGAAUGAGCGCAAUUUAAAAGAGUGUGCGAGGAGCUAUUGGAGGGCAAGCCUGGUGCCAGCAGCCGCGGUAAUUCCAGCUCCAAUAGCCUAUAUCGGAGUUGCUGCGGUUAAAAAGNCUCGUCGUUGGAUCUCGG